CUACGGGAGGCAGCAGUGAGGAAUAUUGCACAAUGGGGGCAACCCUGAUGCAGCAACGCCGCGUGGACGAAGAAGGCCUUCGGGUUGUAAAGUCCUUUUCUAAGGGAAGAUAGUGACGGUACCUUAGGAAUAAGUCCCGGCUAACUACGUGCCAGCAGCCGCGGUAAAACGUAGGGGGCGAGCGUUAUCCGGAUUUAUUGGGCGUAAAGCGCGCGUAGGCGGCAUGUUAAGUUGGACGUGAAAGCUCCUGGCUCAACUGGGAGAGGACGUACAAAACUGACAAGCUUGAGGGUAGAAGAGGAGAGCAGAAUUCCCGGUGUAGUGGUGGAAUGCGUAGAUAUCGGGAGGAAUACCAGUGGCGAAGGCGGCUCUCUGGUCUAACCCUGACGCUGAGGUGCGAAAGCGUGGGGAGCGAACGGGAUUAGAUACCCGAGUAGUCC
rnacentral:rRNA from 1 species